UGGGGAAUAUUGCACAAUGGGCGCAAGCCUGAUGCAGCCAUGCCGCGUGUGUGAAGAAGGCCUUCGGGUUGUAAAGCACUUUCAGCGGGGAGGAAGGCGAUAAGGUUAAUAACCUCAUCGAUUGACGUUACCCGCAGAAGAAGCACCGGCUAACUCCGUGCCAGCAGCCGCGGUAAUACGGAGGGUGCAAGCGUUAAUCGGAAUUACUGGGCGUAAAGCGCACGCAGGCGGUCUGUCAAGUCGGAUGUGAAAUCCCCGGGCUCAACCUUGGAACUGCAUUCGAAACUGGCAGGCUAGAGUCUUGUAGAGGGGGGUAGAAUUCCAGGUGUGGCGGUGAAAUGCGUAGAGAUCUGGAGGAAUACCGGUGGCGAAGGCGGCCCCCUGGACGAAGACUGACGCUCAGGUGCGAAAGCGUGGGGAGCAAACAGG
rnacentral:rRNA from 1 species